GUGGGGAAUAUUGGGCAAUGGGCGAAAGCCUGACCCAGCAACGCCGCGUGAAGGAAGAAGGUCUUCGGAUCGUAAACUUCUAUCCUUGGUGAAGAUAAUGACGGUAGCCGAGAAGGAAGCCCCGGCUAACUACGUGCCAGCAGCCGCGGUAAUACGUAGGGGGCAAGCGUUGUCCGGAAUGAUUGGGCGUAAAGGGCGCGUAGGCGGCCUGGUAAGUCUGGAGUGAAAGUCCUGCUUUUAAGGUGGGAAUUGCUUUGGAUACUGUCGGGCUUGAGUGCAGGAGAGGUAAGCGGAAUUCCCGGUGUAGCGGUGAAAUGCGUAGAGAUCGGGAGGAACACCAGUGGCGAAGGCGGCUUACUGGACUGUAACUGACGCUGAGGCGCGAAAGUGUGGGGAGCAAACAGGAUUAGAAACCCGAGUAGUCC
rnacentral:rRNA from 1 species